AGAGUUUGAUCCUGGCUCAGGAUGAACGCUAGCGACAGGCUUAACACAUGCAAGUCGAGGGGCAGCACAGGUAGCAAUACCGGGUGGCGACCGGCGCACGGGUGAGUAACGCGUAUGCAACUUGCCUAUCAGAGGGGGAUAACCCGGCGAAAGUCGGACUAAUACCGCAUGAAGCAGGGGCCCCGCAUGGGGAUAUUUGCUAAAGAUUCAUCGCUGAUAGAUAGGCAUGCGUUCCAUUAGGCAGUUGGCGGGGUAACGGCCCACCAAACCGACGAUGGAUAGGGGUUCUGAGAGGAAGGUCCCCCACAUUGGUACUGAGACACGGACCAAACUCCUACGGGAGGCAGCAGUGAGGAAUAUUGGUCAAUGGACGAGAGUCUGAACCAGCCAAGUCGCGUGAGGGAAGACUGCCCUAUGGGUUGUAAACCUCUUUUAUAAGGGAAGAAUAAGUUCUACGUGUAGAAUGAUGCCUGUACCUUAUGAAUAAGCAUCGGCUAACUCCGUGCCAGCAGCCGCGGUAAUACGGAGGAUGCGAGCGUUAUCCGGAUUUAUUGGGUUUAAAGGGUGCGUAGGCGGUUUAUUAAGUUAGUGGUUAAAUAUUUGAGCUAAACUCAAUUGUGCCAUUAAUACUGGUAAACUGGAGUACAGACGAGGUAGGCGGAAUAAGUUAAGUAGCGGUGAAAUGCAUAGAUAUAACUUAGAACUCCGAUAGCGAAGGCAGCUUACCAGACUGUAACUGACGCUGAUGCACGAGAGCGUGGGUAGCGAACAGGAUUAGAUACCCUGGUAGUCCACGCCGUAAACGAUGCUCACUGGUUCUGUGCGAUAUAUUGUACGGGAUUAAGCGAAAGUAUUAAGUGAGCCACCUGGGGAGUACGUCGGCAACGAUGAAACUCAAAGGAAUUGACGGGGGCCCGCACAAGCGGAGGAACAUGUG
rnacentral:rRNA from 1 species